CAGCCGCCGCGGUAAUACAGAGGAUGCAAGCGUUAUCCGGAAUUAUUGGGCGUAAAGGGCUCGCAGGCGGUUUCUUAAGUCUGAUGUGAAAGCCCCCGGCUCAACCGGGGAGGGUCAUUGGAAACUGGGAAACUUGAGUGCAGAAGAGGAGAGUGGAAUUCCACGUGUAGCGGUGAAAUGCGUAGAGAUGUGGAGGAACACCAGUGGCGAAGGCGACUCUCUGGUCUGUAACUGACGCUGAGGAGCGAAAGCGUGGGGAGCGAACAGGAUUAGAUACCCCAGUAGUCCCUGUCUCUUAUAA
rnacentral:rRNA from 1 species